GUCCACACCGUAAACGAUGAUUACUAGGUGUUGGAGGAUUGACCCCUUCAGUGCCGCAGUUAACACAAUAAGUAAUCCACCUGGGGAGUACGACCGCAAGGUUGAAACUCAAAGGAAUUGACGGGGGCCCGCACAAGCAGUGGAGUAUGUGGUUUAAUUCGACGCAACGCGAAGAACCUUACCAAGUCUUGACAUCCUGCGACGAUGCUAGAAAUAGUAUUUUCCUCGGGACGCAGAGACAGGUGGUGCAUGGUUGUCGU
rnacentral:rRNA from 1 species